rnacentral:rRNA from 1 species
AUUGAACGCUGGCGGCAUGCUUUACACAUGCAAGUCGAACGGUAACAGGCCUUCGGGUGCUGACGAGUGGCGAACGGGUGAGUAAUGCAUCGGAACGUACCCAGAGGUGGGGGAUAACGCAGCGAAAGCUGUGCUAAUACCGCAUGUGAUCUGAGGAUGAAAGCGGGGGACCGAGCAGCAAUGUUUGGCCUCGCGCCUUUGGAGCGGCCGAUGUCGGAUUAGCUAGUUGGUGGGGUAAAGGCCUACCAAGGCGACGAUCCGUAGCUGGUCUGAGAGGACGACCAGCCACACUGGCAGUGAGACACGGCCCAGACUCCUACGGGAGGCAGCAGUGGGGAAUUUUGGACAAUGGGCGCAAGCCUGAUCCAGCAAUGCCGCGUGCGGGAAGAAGGCCUUCGGGUUGUAAACCGCUUUUGGCAGGAACGAAACGGUGUCCGCUAAUACCGGGCGCUAAUGACGGUACCUGCAGAAUAAGCACCGGCUAACUACGUG